GACGAACGCUGGCGGCGUGCCUAAUACAUGCAAGUAGAACGCUGAAGAGAGGAGCUUGCUCUUCUUGGAUGAGUUGCGAACGGGUGAGUAACGCGUAGGUAACCUGCCUGGUAGCGGGGGAUAACUAUUGGAAACGAUAGCUAAUACCGCAUGACAUUGAUUAUCGCAUGAUAAUUGAUUGAAAGAUGCAAUUGCAUCACUACCAGAUGGACCUGCCGUAUUAGCUAGUUGGUGAGGUAACGGCUCACCAAGGCGACGAUACAUAGCCGACCUGAGAGGGUGAUCGGCCACACUGGGACUGAGACACGGCCCAGACUCCUACGGGAGGCAGCAGUAGGGAAUCUUCGGCAAUGGGGGGAACCCUGACCGAGCAACGCCGCGUGAGUGAGGAAGGUUUUCGGAUCGUAAAGCUCUGUUGUAAGAGAAGAACGGGUGUGAGAGUGGAAAGUUCACACUGUGACG
rnacentral:rRNA from 1 species